UACGGAGGGGGCUAGCGUUGUUCGGAAUUACUGGGCGUAAAGCGCACGUAGGCGGCUUUGCAAGUUAGAGGUGAAAGCCCGGAGCUCAACUCCGGAAUUGCCAUUAAAACUGCAUCGCUAGAAUUGUGGAGAGGUAAGUGGAAUUCCUGGUGUAGCGGUGAAAUGCGCAGAUAUCAGGAGGAACACCGAUGGCGAAGGCAGCUCGCUGGGACGGUAUUGACGCUGAGACGCGAAAGCGUGGGGAGCAAACAGG
rnacentral:rRNA from 1 species